UUGUCCUGGCCUAUAUUUUUUUGCUUCUCUGUGCUCAGUUCUAACAAGGGGUUCUGGCGGGACACACAGCAAGCUCCCUCUCAGUUUAGGAGAGCCGUCCUAAGAAUGGGGCUGGCUCUUAAAGGCACGAGAGGACAAU